rnacentral:rRNA from 1 species
AUUGAACGCUGGCGGCAGGCUUAACACAUGCAAGUCGAGCGGGGAAAGGUAGCUUGCUCCCUGACCUAGCGGCGGACGGGUGAGUAAUGCUUAGGAAUCUGCCUAUUAGUGGGGGACAACAUCUCGAAAGGGAUGCUAAUACCGCAUACGUCCUACGGGAGAAAGCAGGGGACCUUCGGGCCUUGCGCUAAUAGAUGAGCCUAAGUCGGAUUAGCUAGUUGGUGGGGUAAAGGCCUACCAAGGCGACGAUCUGUAGCGGGUCUGAGAGGAUGAUCCGCCACACUGGGACUGAGACACGGCCCAGACUCCUACGGGAGGCAGCAGUGGGGAAUAUUGGACAAUGGGGGGAACCCUGAUCCAGCCAUGCCGCGUGUGUGAAGAAGGCCUUUUGGUUGGAAAGAACUUUAAGCGAGGAGGAGGCUACCGAGAUUAAUACUCUUGGAUAGUGGACGUUACUCGCAGAAUAAGCACCGGCUAACUCUGUG